UGCGUAGGCGGUUUGGUAAGUUGGAUGUGAAAUACCCGGGCUUAACUUGGGGGCUGCAUCCAAUACUGCUGAACUUGAGUGCAGGAGAGGAAAGCGGAAUUCCUAGUGUAGCGGUGAAAUGCGUAGAUAUUAGGAGGAACACCGGUGGCGAAGGCGGCUUUCUGGACUGUAACUGACGCUGAGGCACGAAAGCGUGGGGAGCAAACA
rnacentral:rRNA from 1 species